GCCUGACUGGCUCAGUAGGUUAAGUGUCUGACUUCAGCUCAAGUCAUGAUCUUGCAGUUCGUGGGUUCAAGCCCCAUGUUGGGCU
rnacentral:tRNA from 1 species